AUUAGGGUAAUGGAAGCGACCAACUUUCUAAUGCUACCAAUGAUCAAGUGGUUAACAAUGUUGCUACUAACUCGAUUGGAACUUCACCUCUGAGUAUUAAUAACAACAAUACUCUCCGCAAGUGCACAUUGCUAGAUUGGGGUGGUACAGGAGAGGUGGUUUAUGAAGGUUGAUGGUCCUCAAAUGAUCCUAAAGUUACUGUUCACCAUGUUCCUCUCGGUCCAUAUGCUGUUAGAGUUUGGGUAGACUUUCCAAACAAGUCGGUUGCAUUUUUAUGGAGACCUAACUCAGAAAUGACAUACAUUGAGGAUGUUGUUGGAAGCACAGUAGCAUGGCCUCUUGACAAAGUUAUUUUAAGUCGAUAAAAGAACAAUUGUACAAAGCCCAAGAAUGUCAUUACCAAGACACAACAAGCUUCAAGUAUUUAGAUUUGUAUCCUAUUAUCUUUCUGGAACUAAUGUGUAGGUUGAUCAUUGUAUUGGGUUGAAUGAUA